rnacentral:rRNA from 1 species
AUUGAACGCUGGCGGCAGGCCUAACACAUGCAAGUCGAGCGGAGAGGCGGAGGGGCGGGUAAUGCCUAGGAAUCUGCCUGGUAGUGGGGGAUAUCGUUCGGCAACGGGCGCUAAUACUGCAUCCUAUCAGUUGAGCAUUGGGUGGUUUUGGUAGUUGGUGGGGUAAAGGCCUACGAAGGCGACGACCCGUAACUGGACUGAGAGGAUGAUCAGUCACACUGGAACUGAGGCACGGUCCAUACUCCUACGGGAGGCAGCAGUGGGGAAUAUUGGACAAUGGGCGAAAGCCUGAGCCAGCCAUGCCGCGUGUGUGAAGAAGGUCUUCGGGUUGUAAAGCACUUUAAGUUGGGAGGCGUUACCAACAGAAUAAGCACCGGCUAACUUCGUGCCAGCAGCCGCGGUAAUUC